AGAGUCCUUCAGCUUGUCAGAUAGAUUGUUGGAUCUGCUGUCUCUAAUCUUCCUCUUGACGAUACCCCAUAGUGAAUCUAUGAGGUAUUGUC